GGAAGAAGCCACAAGUGACGGUACCUGCAGAAGAAGCGCCGGCUAACUACGUGCCAGCAGCCGCGGUAAUACGUAGGGCGCAAGCGUUGUCCGGAAUUAUUGGGCGUAAAGAGCUCGUAGGCGGUUUGUCGCGUCUGCUGUGAAAGCCCGGGGCUCAACCCCGGGUCUGCAGUGGGUACGGGCAGACUAGAGUGCAGUAGGGGAGACUGGAAUUCCUGGUGUAGCGGUGAAAUGCGCAGAUAUCAGGAGGAACACCGAUGGCGAAGGCAGGUCUCUGGGCUGUUACUGACGCUGAGGAGCGAAAGCAUGGGGAGCGAACAGGAUUAGAUACCCUGGUAGUCCAUGCCGUAAACGUUGGGCACUAGGUGUGGGGGACAUUCCACGUUCUCCGCGCCGUAGCUAACGCAUUAAGUGCCCCGCCUGGG
rnacentral:rRNA from 1 species